AGUCGGAAUUGCUAGUAAUGGCAGGUCAGCAUACUGCCGUGAAUACGUUCCCGGGCCGUUGUACACACCGCCCGUCACACCAUGAGAGUUGGAGAUACCCGAAGCCUAUGAGCUAACUUUUAGAGGCAGUAGUCGAAGGUAGAAUCAAUGAUUGGGGUGAAGUCGUAACAAGGUAAC
rnacentral:rRNA from 1 species